UUACUAUAUUAUUUCUCUGUAUAUUCUGUAUUCCUAUUUAGGAUUUCUUAAUUUAAGAUUUCUUCCUAAUUAGUAGAACACAAUUAUAGGAAUCAAUUGUAU
rnacentral:pre_miRNA from 1 species